GAGCUAGUUUCUGUUCUUGGUGGAUACAUUCUGGGUGUACCUCGCUUCCAAAAAUGACGGUACCCGUAAUGUUUCCGCUGAGAACCGACUGUGCACC
rnacentral:pre_miRNA from 1 species